rnacentral:rRNA from 1 species
AACGAACGCUGGCGGCAUGCCUAACACAUGCAAGUCGAACGAUACCUUCGGGUCUAGUGGCGCACGGGUGCGUAACGCGUGGGAACCUGCCCUUAGGUUCGGAAUAACUCCCCGAAAGGGGUGCUAAUACCGGAUAAUGUCUUCGGACCAAAGAUUUAUCGCCUUUGGAUGGGCCCGCGUUGGAUUAGCUAGUUGGUAGGGUAAAAGCCUACCAAGGCGACGAUCCAUAGCUGGUCUGAGAGGAUGAUCAGCCACACUGGGACUGAGACACGGCCCAGACUCCUACGGGAGGAAGCAGUGGGGAAUAUUGGACAAUGGGCGAAAGACUGAUCCAGCAAUGCCGCGUGAGUGAUGAAGGCCUUAGGGUUGUAAAGCUCUUUUACCCGGGAUGAUAAUGACAGUACCGGGAGAAUAAGCUCCGGCUAACUCCGUG